UUCCACAACUCCUCCUCUCCCACAACUCUUCCUCUCCUCUCCCACAACCCCUUCAACUCACUCCCUAACAGACAGGAAAAGGGACGUUUUUUCUCUGUCGUGGAGAGUGGGUUGUCCUAAGAUGUAAUAUAAGCACGACACGACAGCAAAGGCCAUCAGUCAAUGUGUGAACCUCUGGACACCUGACACCUGAAGACAUCUGAAGAUGUGAAGAUGAAGAUGAAGAUGAAGCUGUCCUGUGUCACUGCUGCUGCUGUUGCUGUUCUGGUGCUGGUGCUCUGCUCCCAGGGACAAAGCAAGUGUAAGUUAUUUUCCACAUUGUUAAUAACCAUGUCAGGGACAAAGCAAGUGUCAGUUUUUUUUCACAUUGUUAAUAACCGUGUCAGGGACAAAGCAAGUGUAAGUUUGGUAGACUGCAUUAGUAUUUUCCCACAUUGGUAAUAACCGUGUCAGUAUGUCAUGGAAACAGAAGAUAAAUCAGUCUACACAGAACUGCCGACACUUGCCGGAAUGUGUAGUAUUGCAGAAAUCUGAUGGUGUGUUUAUGACUUAAGAGAGCAAUAAUCCAUAUGACACCAAGGAGUCCAUCCACCUUUAUGUGUAUGUGUAUAUAAUCCAUAUGACACCUUUAUGUGUGUGUGUAUAUAUAAUCCAUGACACUUUUGUGUGUAUGUGUGUAUAUAAUCCAUGUAGGAGCCACAUUUAAGUUUCUUUUUUUUUUCAACUCAUGUUUUGUUUUUGUGCAUUUUGUGAGGGUGCACCCCCUUUAGGUGGUAACUGGUGCCACCCAACCUGGAUAAAAGAGAUGCCUCCUGCGCAUGACAGGAGAAGAGCAGGCCGCAGAGAGACCGUUCUUGACCUCGCCCGCUCAAACACCUGCCUGACACGCUGCUCUUGUGCUGACAUUGUCUUGCAGUUAGACUCUUAUCAUUUCUGCAUCUCAUUGCAUCUCUUGUUUGUAUUUUAUUUGUAAUAAAACCGGCAUAUUCUCGGACAAAACCAUCUCGUUGGAUUUUUGGGUGCGAGUCAAAACACUGCGAAUUACCUGCCUUCUCAACUCUGGGGGAAAAUGGAUAAAGCUACAGGAAAAGCCAGAAUCGAUUUUUUUGCCAGUACAAUCCAUAUGACAACUUUACGGCGGUCGAUACACCAGAUAAAAGCUGUUUUGAGUAUUACACCAAGCGGAUUCCACUCGAAGCCAUAAAAGGCUAUAAAGUGACCAGCCCCAUCUGCCCCGAUAAGGGAGUCUUGUAACUUUGUGACUGUGAAGGACAAAGAACUGUGCGCCAACCCAGAGGUCAAGGAAGUCCAGUACAUUAUGUACAGAGUGAAGAGGCGUCCUCUGCCAAAUUCUAUUAUUAGUCCCCGCUCCAUCAUUCCAUAAUCAUUAUUUUAUGAUUAUUAUUUUGCCAGCAUUUGGUUGGGGCUUUCCAUCCCUGGUGUCUGAACAAGACACAGUUCAACAAUGACCACAGUGUGGACUGCUGUCAUAUAGAUAUAUAUUAUAUACAUCAAGGGCAUGGCCAUUGUUUAUGUCAUGUGUGUGAUUGCAUGUCACUACUGUUUAGUGUUUUUUUAUGUUUUAUUCUUUUUAUGAAUGCUUAUUUAUUUAUUGAACUUCAUCUCUAUUUUGUUUGAAUUCAUAAUUUCUGCCUUGUUAUCUGAACUUAUAUUUUAUUUGUUAUUUUAAAUCCUUUUUAUCCUUUUAUAAUUCUGUGCUCCUUUUUUACCUAUGUGUGUACAAUGAACUAUCUCUCUGCCUUACGUUGUCUCAACUCCUGUUGUUUUAAAUGUGCUACACAAAUAAAGCGACUUGACUUGACUAUA